rnacentral:rRNA from 1 species
AGUAAAAGUCGUAACAAGGUUUCCGUAGGUGAACCUGCGGAAGGAUCAUUAAAGAGUAAGGGUGCUCAGCGCCCGACCUCCAACCCUUUGUUGUUAAAACUACCUUGUUGCUUUGGCGGGACCGCUCGGUCUCGAGCCGCUGGGGAUUCGUCCCAGGCGAGCGCCCGCCAGAGUUAAACCAAACUCUUGUUAUUAAACCGGUCGUCUGAGUUAAAAUUUUGAAUAAAUCAAAACUUUCAACAACGGAUCUCUUGGUUCUCGCAUCGAUGAAGAACGCAGCGAAAUGCGAUAAGUAAUGUGAAUUGCAGAAUUCAGUGAAUCAUCGAAUCUAUGAACGCACAUUGCGCCCCUUGGUAUUCCGAGGGGCAUGCCUGUUCGAGCGUCAUUACACCACUCAAGCUAUGCUUGGUAUUGGGUGCCGUCCUUAGUUGGGCGCGCCUUAAAGACCUCGGCGAGGCCUCACCGGCUUUAGGCGUAGUAGAAUUUAUUCGAACGUCUGUCAAAGGAGAGGACUUCUGCCGACUGAAACCUUUAUUUUUCUAUGUUGAGCUCGGAUCAGGUAGGGAUACCGCUGAACUUAAUUUUUAUGGGUAAGCGGAGGA